GAUGAAGAACGUAGCGAAAUGCGAUAAGUAAUGUGAAUUGCAGAAUUCAGUGAAUCAUCGAAUCUUUGAACGAACAUUGCGCCCAUUAGUAUUCUAGUGGGCAUGCCUGUUCGAGCGUCAUUAAGUCCACUUAAGCCCUGCUUAGUGUUGGGAGACUGCUCCAGCGGUGCUACCCUGUAGCUACCCUGCAGCUCCUCAAAGACAGCGGCGGAGUUGUGGUAUCCUCUGAGCUUAGUAACUUGUUCUAGCUUUCGAGUACACCACUUCCCCUGCCGUAAAACCCUUAAUUUUUAAUGGUUGACCUCGGAUCAGGUAGGAAUACCCGCUGAACUUAAGCAUAUCAAUAAGCGGAGGA
rnacentral:misc_RNA from 1 species